rnacentral:rRNA from 1 species
GUGUCAGCAGCCGCGGUAAUACCAGCACCCCGAGUGGUCGGGAUGAUUAUUGGGCCUAAAGCAUCCGUAGCCGGUGUAACAAGUCCUCCGUUAAAUCCACCUGCUUAACAGGUGGGCUGCGGAGGAUACUGUUACACUAGGAGGCGGGAGAGGCGAGGGGUAUUCCACGGGUAGGGGUAAAAUCCUCUGAUCCGUGGAGGACCACCAGUGGCGAAGGCGCCUCGCCAGAACGCGCUCGACGGUGAGGGAUGAAAGCUGGGGGAGCAAACCGGAUUAGAUACCCGGGUAGUCCCAGCCGUAAACGAUGUAGGCUCGGUGAUGGACUGGCUCCGAGCCAGUCCAGUGCCGCAGGGAAGCCGUUAAGCCUACCGCCUGGGGAGUACGGCCGCAAGGCUGAAACUUAAAGGAAUUGACGGGG